rnacentral:rRNA from 1 species
UUCUAGCUUGCUAGAAAAUGGAAAGCGGCGAACGGGUGAGUAACACGUUGGUAUCUGCCCCCAAGUCAGGGAUAACCCACUGAAAAGUGGAUUAAUACCGGAUAGUCUCUUCGGAGUAAAAAUUUAUUGCUUGGGGAGGAGCCUGCGUUCUAUCAGCUUGUUGGUGAGGUAAUAGCUCACCAAGGCUAUGACGGAUAAUUGGUCUGAGAGGAUGACCAGUCACAAUGGAACUGAGACACGGUCCAUACUCC